rnacentral:rRNA from 1 species
UACGAAGGGGGCUAGCGUUGCUCGGAAUCACUGGGCGUAAAGGGUGCGUAGGCGGGUUUUUAAGUCAGAGGUGAAAUCCUGGAGCUCAACUCCAGAACUGCCUUUGAUACUGAAAGUCUUGAGUAUGGGAGAGGUGAGUGGAACUGCGAGUGUAGAGGUGAAAUUCGUAGAUAUUCGCAAGAACACCAGUGGCGAAGGCGGCUCACUGGCCCUUUACUGACGCUGAGGCACGAAAGCGUGGGGAGCAAACAGG